UACGUAGGGGCCUAGCGUUGUCCGGAUUUAUUGGGCGUAAAGCGCGCGUAGGCGGCUUGGCAAGUCGGAUGUGAAAUCCCUCGGCUCAACCAAGGAAGUGCAUCCGAAACUGCUGAGCUUGAGUACUUAAGAGGAUCGCGGAAUUCCCGGUGUAGAGGUGAAAUUCGUAGAUAUCGGGAGGAACACCAGUGGCGAAGGCGGCGAUCUGGGAAGAUACUGACGCUGAGGUGCGAAAGCGUGGGGAGCAAACAGG
rnacentral:rRNA from 1 species